CAAUAGCGUAUAUUUAAGUUGUUGCAGUUAAAAAGCUCGUAGUCGGAUUUUGGCUGAGAACGAUCGGUCCGCCGUUAGGUGUGCACUGAUUGGUCUCAGCUUCCUGGUGAGGAGGUGUGCUUCACGGCCACUUAGUCACCGUGGUUACUUUGAAAAAAUUAGAGUGUUCAAAGCGGGCUUACGCUUGAAUAUAUUAGCACGGAAUAACACCAUAGGACUCCUGUCCUAUUUCGUUGGUCUCGGGACGGGAGUAAUGAUUAAGAGGAACAGUUGGGGGCAUUCGUAUUUCAUUGUCAGAGGUGAAAUUCUUGGAUUUAUGAAAGACGAACUUCUGCGAAAGCAUUUGCCAAGGAUGUUUUCGUUGA
rnacentral:rRNA from 1 species